rnacentral:rRNA from 1 species
GACGAACGCUGGCGGCGCGCUUAACACAUGCAAGUCGAACGGAAAGGCCUGCUUUCCCUUGUGGAUUGCGGGUACUCGAGUGGCGAACGGGUGAGUAACACGUGAGUGAUCUGCCCCCAACUUGGGUAUAAGCCUGGGAAACUGGGUCUAAUUCCCGAUAGGACUGCAGGGUGGUGCCUGUGGUGGAAAACGAUUUUCUAGUGGUUGGGGAUGAGCUCGCGGCCUAUCAGCUUGUUGGUGGGGUAAUGGCCUACCAAGGCGGCGACGGGUAGCCGGCCUGAGAGGGUGGACGGCCACAUUGGGACUGAGAUACGGCCCAGACUCCUACGGGAGGCAGCAGUGGGGAAUAUUGCACAAUGGGCGGAAGCCUGAUGCAGCGACGCCGCGUGGGGGAUGACGGCCUUCGGGUUGUAAACUCCUUUCGACCGCGAGGAAGCCACCUGGUUGGAAGGGUGGCGACGGUAGUGGUAGAAGAAGCACCGGCUAACUACGUG